rnacentral:rRNA from 1 species
AUGGUGUAUGGCGCAGAGGCAGUUCUGCCUUGCGAUAUAAUUCAUGACUCACCUCGUGUGCGCAUGUACGAAGAAAGAGAAGUCGAGUUGGAUCGGCAUGACAGUUUGGACGCUUUAGAGGAGGAGCGGGACGUGGCAAAGGCUCGUUCCGCAUUCUAUCAGCAGCAGGCUCGAAGAUAUCAAAGCAGAGAAGUACGGGCCAAAACUUACAAUGUUGGCGAACUCGUUCUACGCCUGCCGGACAAGAAAAAGGACAAACUUAAGCCCAAGUGGGAAGGUCCCUUCAUCAUCGACCAAGUCCUGACCGGCGGAGCAUACCGUCUACGUAAAGCAUCUGACAACCGACUCGAGCCAAACCCAUGGAGCGCAGCCCGUCUCCGAAGAUUCUACGCCUAA